AUUGAACGCUGGCGGCAGGCUUAACACAUGCAAGUCGAGCGGAGAUGAGGUGCUUGCACCUUAUCUUAGCGGCGGACGGGUGAGUAAUGCUUAGGAAUCUGCCUAUUAGUGGGGGACAACAUUCCGAAAGGAAUGCUAAUACCGCAUACGUCCUACGGGAGAAAGCAGGGGAUCUUCGGACCUUGCGCUAAUAGAUGAGCCUAAGUCGGAUUAGCUAGUUGGUGGGGUAAAGGCCUACCAAGGCGACGAUCUGUAGCGGGUCUGAGAGGAUGAUCCGCCACACUGGGACUGAGACACGGGCCAGACUCCUACGGGAGGCUGCAGUGGGGAAUAUUGGACAAUGGGGGGAACCCUGAUCUAGCCAUGCCGCGUGUGUGAAGAAGGCCUUAUGGUUGUAAAGCACUUUAAGCGAGGAGGAGGCUACUGAGACUAAUACUCUUGGAUAGUGGACGUUACUCGCAGAAUAAGCACCGGCUAACUACGUGCCAGCCGCCGCCGUAAAAC
rnacentral:rRNA from 1 species